rnacentral:sRNA from 1 species
CCUAAGGAGUGAAUCCAUACGUAAAGGGGCCCCAAUCCGUGUGUAAUGGAAAAUGAAUCUUCUCUACCAAAAUUACAUUAGGUAAUCGUGAAACCCUCUCCCUCCACUUUACUCGACUUUCGUUGCCUCUUCUCUGAGUGAAGAACCAGCUCCCUUCGGUCUCUUACAAUGAAGCACUAGUGUUUGAUGGGUGUUCGGCCUCUUACAAUGAAGCACUAGUUUUUGAUGGGUGUUCGGUCUUCUCUUUCGACAUUCGCGUUCGACCUUCUCAUUUCUUUCUACCUCACUCUCCUUCAUCCGUUGUGUGGUUCGGUGCAUUGAGGUGACGGCGUUCGUUGUUGUGGUUGGUUAAGCCUGGACCACGUGAGGUUCCCCACCAAUGCCUUAUAAAGCGGAACAAGAAGACCUCAACGUUUUAUCUAUAUCUUGCUCUAACACAAUCAUUCACAGAUAAAAGGAAGUUUCUACUAGCAGCUAGGAGAUAUAUAGGUGCGGUACCCAUACUGAAUAUAUAAUUUCCCUCGAUGCUGAUGAUUUAUUGCAAGGAAGCAAUGCUUACGUUGGAAAGUUAAGUUCAGAAAUAUACAAAGCACGCAUUGGAUAAAGGCCUUAAGAGAAUUACAAAACAUUCUAGGAAUGUCUAUUUUGAAGACUUCUGCUCUGACAAGCCGUACAAGCUUCACAUUAAUGAAAAACUAUGAAAAAGCAUUGUACAACUACAAAAUACUCAGUGAGAUCCUAGAGAGGAAAAACUGGUGUAAUCUUGGAAAAGAUUAGUGGAACCCCUUAAGAGUUCUU